rnacentral:rRNA from 1 species
AGUGAACGCUGGCGGCGUGCUUAACACAUGCAAGUCGAACGAGAACGGGUUAUAGUUUGCUAUAAUUGUUAGUUAAGUGGUGCACGGGUGAGUAAUAUAUAGUUAACCUGUUCUCAAGAAAGGAAUAACAGUUGGAAACGACUGCUAAUGCCCUAUAUGCCUUUAAUACAUAAGUAUGCAAGGGAAACGCUUUAGUGCUUGAGGAUGGGACUGUAUGGUAUCAGUUAGUUGGUGAGGUAAUGGCUCACCAAGACUAUGACGCCUAACUGGUUUGAGAGGAUGAUCAGUCACACUGGAACUGAGACACGGUCCAGACUCCUACGGGAGGCAGCAGUGGGAAUAUUGCACAAUGGACGAAAGUCUGAUGCAGCAACGCCGCGUGGAGGAUGACACAUUUCGGUGCGUAAACUCCUUUUAUAUAGGAAGAUAAUGACGGUACUAUAUGAAUAAGCACCGGCUAACUCCGUGCCAGCAGCCGUACGG